rnacentral:rRNA from 1 species
CAGGGAAUCUUGCGCAAUGGGCGAAAGCCUGACGCAGCGACGUCGCGUGGGGGAUGAAUGCCUUCGGGUUGUAAACCCCUUUUGUUUGGGGCGAAGUUCUGACGGUACCAAACGAAUAAGCCUCGGCUAACUACGUGCCAGCAGCAGCGGUAAUACGUAGGAGGCGAGCGUUGCCCGGAUUUAUUGGGCGUAAAGGGCGCGUAGGCGGCCUGGAAAGUCCUUUGUGAAAUCUCCCGGCUUAACUGGGAGGGGUCAGAGGAAACUAUCAGGCUUGAGGGGAGCAGAGGAGAACGGAAUUCCCGGUGUAGCGGUGAAAUGCAUAGAUAUCGGGAGGAACACUUGUGGCGAAGGCGGUUCUCUGGGCUCUUCCUGACGCUGAGGCGCGAAAGCGUGGGGAGCAAACCGG